UUCCCCUUCCGCUCGAAACCGUGUUUCCAUGUUGUCUGAUGUUGUCGCGGCGCACGUGGUUUUUCCACGCUUGCUGUAGCUAUGGACCGCGAAAUGGAGCUUCUUUUGGAACGCAUAAAAGACUUCAGGUACCUCUACGACAAAAGUGAGCCGAACUUCAAGGAUACACAGAUGAAAGAAGCCAGGUGGGAAAUGAUCGGCAAGGAAUUCGGAAUGUCGGGUAGGUCGUGGUUUCCGUGUUUUUGUUCACAUUCGGUGAUGUCAGGGGAACGCGUGGAGCAGCUGGAGACUCAAGCCAUUAAACUUGAUACUCCGAUGUGAUAUACGUUCUUUUCAGGAGCAACAUGUGAAAAGAAGUGGCGCAACGCGCGGGAUCACUGUGUGAAGAUACGGAACAAGCUAGCAUCUGCAUCCCGUAGUGGCAUGGCGGCGGCUGCGCUGCCGGCAGUGAAAUGGCCUUAUUUUGAGGUUGUUUCAAGUAUGUUGGGGCCAUUACCAUCGGGGUCGUAAGUACAUGGAAACAGUCAAUUUUUCAGACAAAUCUGUUCUGCUGAAAUUAUCGUUUGCCGCAGGUAUAUUACGAAUGUUCGCCCCGAAAUGGUGCCACCCAGAAAUACUGGGGUUUCUUGUAGCCAGCCUUCCCGGCCACCUUCUCCUCCAAGUGCAACUGCACAGGAAACAGCUAGGGACCUGCUAGAGUCGAUGUACAAUGGGAGUUCAAGCAUCAGCACCUCUGCUGAUGAUUAUGAACCGUAAGUUGACACACAAC